UUCUCAACUCACCAUCACAUACUGGUAAUGUGGGGCUGUGACAGCCAAUUAAAAAACAUUCUAUCAGUACUUCUGGUUGUCUUCUCAACUCACCAUCACAUACUGGUAAUGUGGGGCUGUGACAGCCAAUUAAAAAACAUUCUAUCAGUACUUCUGGUUGUCUUCUCAACUCACCAUCACAUACUGGUAAUGUGGGGCUGUGACAGCCAAUUAAAAAACAUUCUAUCAGUACUUCUGGUUGUCUUCUCAACUCACCAUCACAUACUGGUAAUGUGGGGCUGUGACAGCCAAUUAAAAAACAUUCUAUCAGUACUUCUGGUUGUCUUCUCAACUCACCAUCACAUACUGGUAAUGUGGGGCUGUGACAGCCAAUUAAAAAACAUUCUAUCAGUACUUCUGGUUGUCUUCUCAACUCACCAUCACAUACUGGUAAUGUGGGGCUGUGACAGCCAAUUAAAAAACAUUCUAUCAGUACUUCUGGUUGUCUUCUCAACUCACCAUCACAUACUGGUAAUGUGGGGCUGUGACAGCCAAUUAAAAAACAUUCUAUCAGUACUUCUGGUUGUCUUCUCAACUCACCAUCACAUACUGGUAAUGUGGGUCUGUGACAGCCAAUUGCAUAUUAGUCUGGCAAUGCAUCUUCUCUCACCACCACUAAUGAGAUGGGCGUGGCUUGAUGUCGGGUCGGAGCUUCUCAAAGUCAGGGGGGGCGUGGUCGACAGUGAGCACCUCAUCUCUGCUGUCACAUCCUACCUGGAUUGAUAUUUGGGUUUUUAAUGCAGGCGAGAGAACCGAGUUCAGCUUCACACAGCUAUGAAGGGUACAAUGAGUUUUAUGGUGCUUUCAAGACAACUGGGAACUCGUAAGAAAUAAGAGAUCAAAUCAUGACGUCGGAAUGUUAGAGCUCUAAAAAGAGGCCAGAGUUCCGGAGUUGGAAUUCUCAGUUGGAUGACCAUUCUAAUUCUUUUCCAGAGUUACAAGUUGUCUUGAACAAGCAGAAGUCAUGCUGGAUUGACA
rnacentral:lncRNA from 1 species